UUUUAAUUUAAUAAAAAUAAUUUUAAUAGUUUAUAUUUUUAGUAGAGUUUAUAGAAAAAAUUAAUUUAGUUAUAGUUUAAUUGUAUUGUAAAAGAUUAUUGAAAUAAAAUUUUAUUUUAAAAAAGUAUAAUUUAAUUUUAGUACCUUGUGUAUCAGGGUUUAUUAAAUAAAUGUUAUAAAUUUUAAUUUUCUCGAAUUUAAGAGAGCUAAUAAAUUAUUUUUUUUAUUGUAAAAAAAAUAUUUAUAAUAAUUUAUUGGUAAUGAGAUGUUAUUCGUUCUUAAAUAUAUCUAGUUUAUUUAGAAAUGAAUUUAAUUCAGAUGUUAUUAUUUUAAUAAUUUAAUUUUUUAAAUUAUUAAAUUUAUUAAUAUUAAUAAUUAAAGGGAUUAGCUUUUAAUUAAAAAUUUAAAAAUUAAUAAAAUAUUUUAAGAAAUGUAGAUUUAGAAAUAGUCAUCAAUAAUAAUUUGUUAUAAUUAAUUUAUAUAAAAAUAUUAUUUUAUAUAAUUUUAAAUUUUUUAUAAAUAAAUAAUUUUUAAUUUUAAAAAUUUAGAUAUAAUGAUAGAAUUAGUAUAUAUUUGAUUUAUUUAAAUAAUAGUUUUUUAAAGAUUAUUUAAAGGAAUUCGGCAAAAUUUUUACUCGCCUGUUUAACAAAAACAUGUCCUUUUGUAUUUUAUUUAAGGUCUAGUCUGCCCACUGAAUUUAAAUUUUAAAUGGCCGCAGUAUUUUGACUGUGCAAAGGUAGCAUAAUCAUUAGUUUUUUAAUUAAAAGCUUGUAUGAAAGGCUGGACGAAGUAAAAUCUGUCUCUAUUUAAAUUAUAGUAGAAUUUAACUUUUAAGUUAAAAGGCUUAAAUAUGAUUAAAAGACGAGAAGACCCUAUAGAUCUUUAUAAUUUAUUAAUUAAAAUUAAUUUAGAAUUAUUUAUAUUUUAUUUGAUUAAAUUAUUUUAUUGGGGUAAUAUAAAGAUUGAAUUAAUUCUUUUUUUUAUAAACAUUAAUUUAUGAAUAUUAAAUGAUCCAGUUUUACUGAUUAUAAGAUUAAGUUACCUUAGGGAUAACAGCGUAAUUUUUUUAGAGAGUUCAUAUCGAUAAAAAAGUUUGCGACCUCGAUGUUGGAUUAAAGAUUAUUUUAGGUGUAGAAGCUUAAUAAUUUUGGUCUGUUCGACCAUUAAAUCUUUACAUGAUCUGAGUUCAGACCGGCGUAAGCCAGGUCGGUUUCUAUCUUUAAUAAAAUAAAAUAUUUUAGUACGAAAGGACCAAAUAUUUAAUAUAAUUAUAUUUUAAUUAAUUGAAUGUUAUUAAAAUUA
rnacentral:rRNA from 1 species